GCAAACUUGGUCAUUUAGAGGAAGUAAAAGUCGUAACAAGGUCUCCGUUGGUGAACCAGCGGAGGGAUCAUUAUAGAGUUUUCUAACUCCCAAACCAUUGUGAACUUACCACUGUUGCCUCGGCAGAAGCUACCCUGUAGCGACUGCCGGUGGACCACUAAACUCUUGUUAUUAUUAUGACAUCUGAGCGUCUUAUUUUAAUAAGUCAAAACUUUCAACAACGGAUCUCUUGGUUCUGGCAUCGAUGAAGAACGCAGC
rnacentral:misc_RNA from 1 species